rnacentral:lncRNA from 10 species
CUGCAACGCAUAAAGGGCUGAGUCCACGUGUUGGAUGGCGUCCUGUUGCUUUUGCUAUUGCAGAUGUGGGUGAGGAACCUCACAUGGGAGAGGCAGCUUGCAAGACAUGUGACACUUUCGGGCUGAAGCACUUAAGAGCCAGUGUGCCCUGUCCAUUUCUGUCUUCUGUCCUGUGGAUUUGGAAGCAUGUGUUGACAGAACAAUGUCUUAUGGUGAAGGAAGCCUAAACCCCUGAGUCAUUGGAUGGAGGAGAGCCCAUGUUGACCCAUAAAGGACUUCAUGGUCUCGCUCUGUCACCCAGGCUGGAGUGCAGGCGUGCUAUCUUGGCUCACUGCAACUUCUGCUUCCCGAGUUCAAGAGAUCCUCAUACCUCAGCCUCCUGAGUAGCCGGGACUACAGGCAUGCGCCACCACACCCAGAUAUGACUUAGAAUAUGAUUGAAUAUGAAUACAUGAUUGAAGAUAUAUUAUAAAAUUGAGAUACUUGUUGCACCACUCCAGGCAUAUCAUGUGCACUGGCCCUGCUAGCUAAUGCUCUUCCCCCCACUACCAUCACCUUAUGACACAACAGGGAAAUGAAUACAGAAGGGCUCAAAGUAUUUUAUAGAGGGUAUACGAGCAAUUUGACGUCGCAGAAAACCUGUCAGAAAGAAGCACCAUGGAAUAGAGGAAAGAGGCCCGGAAUCCAGCCCCGGGAACUGUGACAGCCUCUGG